CCAGCCGCCCUGGUCUCGCUGUCUCCUGGCAGGCAGGAGAGGUGUGGAAACAGCCAGGCUCCCCUUAGCAUGGCAGAACUGCUCUGGACUCGGGGAGGUGUGGAUUCGAGGGCGGGAGCUAUGCCUGGCAUACUGGGAGUUGUCAUCUUUGAUUAGCUUCCAGUUUUUUAAUUGCAGGGCGACCGGAUUACCAUCUCAGCCAGCAUGAACAGGGGGUGGCACGCAGUACUGAGGGGGGAAGCCGGGCUGUGCCGGCUUCGCUGUGCAUUCUGGGAGCUGUAGUCUCUUCACCGCUCCUGCCCGUUGUUUCAAGCGCUUCGGGACUACAAUCCCAGUAUUCCCCGGGCUCGGGGGCGGGGCGCAGUUCUCGUGGGAGGAGCGAGGCACCGCGCUCCUGGCCAGGCAAGCUGGAAACGGUAUCUCUUAACGGUUCCCUGCCCCUUGGUGGCAAGGCGGCUGGACUAGAAUCUCAGCAGGCGACAUGCGAGGAGGCGGGCAACCCAGGAGGGUUGGGCAAGGCAGUGUGGACCUCGACGCUUCCACAGCGAUGCUGGCUACUGAUCGCGGGCACCUCUUUGCCAUGGGAAGAAAUUAAUAUUAUGACUGGAUAAGACAAUUGUGAAGAAACUGCACUUUGAGGUUGUCUGUCUCUGUAUUCUGAUGGAAAAGCGUGGAAUUUAGAAGCAUUGCUCACUCCUUCAGUUUCUAACAAGCCAGUUCUUGGAGAUACUAGGAAGCCAAGAGUUUCCUCCAAGAAUGGAGAUUCCUUGGAAGUGAGGUUCACCUUGAGUCAAGAAAGACGAAUCACACGUGGUCAAAGGCCAUUGCCCAGGGUCUCAAGAGUAGCCAGAAAGAAGAGCU